AUUGAACGCUGGCGGCAGGCCUAACACAUGCAAGUCGAGCGGAGCGGCAGACGGGGAAGUAAGGCCUAGGAAUCGGCCUGGUAGUGGGGGAGAACGUCCGGAAACGGGCGCUAAUACCGCAUACUCACAGAUGAGCAUAGGGCGGAGUAGGUAGUGGGUGGGGUAAAGGCCUACCAAGGCGACGAUCCGUAACUGGUCUGAGAGGAUUAUCAGUCACACUGGAACUGAGACACGGCCCAGACUCCUACGGGAGGCAGCAGUGGGGAAUAUUGGGCAAUGGGCGCAAGCCUGAUCCAGCCAUGCCGCGUGUGUGAAGAAGGUCUUCGGGUUGUAAAGCUCUUUAGGUUGGGAGGCGUUACCAACAGAAGAAGCACCGGCUAACUUCGUGCCAGCAGCCGCGGUAAUAC
rnacentral:rRNA from 1 species